AUUGAACGCUGGCGGCAUGCCUAACACAUGCAAGUCGAACGGCAGCACGUAGGUGGAGCAAUUCAUUUAUGGUGGCGAGUGGCGAACGGGUGAGUAACGCGUAGGAAUAUGGCCUAAAGACUGGGACAACUUGUGGAAACGCAAGCUAAUACAGGAUGAGCUCUGAGGAGGAAAGCUGGGGACUGGAAACGGCCUGGCGCUUUAGGGAUAGCCUGCGUCGGAUUAGCUAGUUGGUGGGGUAAAGGCCUACCAAGGCGAUGAUUGGUAGCUGGGCUGAGAGGAUGGACAGCCACACUGGGACUGAGAGACGGCCCAGACUCCUACGGGAGGCAGCAGUGGGGAAUAUUGGACAAUGGGGGGAACCCUGAUCCAGCAAUGCCGCGUGUGUGAAGAAGGCCUGAGGGUUGUAAAGCACUUUCGUUGGGGAGGAAGUAUGUUUGGUUAAGAGCUGGACAUAUUGACGUUACCCGAGGAAGAAGCACCGGCUAACUCCGUGCCAGCCGCCGCCGUAA
rnacentral:rRNA from 1 species